CCAGCCGAACUACAGCAGAACCCAUCUUCGCAUCGAAACCCAUUGAGAGGUCCACAAGUCGCAUUUGGCGAAACUCCAACGGGAGCACGAGGCGGGGAUAUCUCGGCUACCUCGAACGUAACGGAGCCCGAAGUGCCAGCAUCUGUGCCAUUUUCGAAUUCACCGUGGACUAUGGGACAUCCAACCGGCUUUUCUGAAGUGCAGUUUGCUUUGGGGUCUAGCGUGAAGUACUUCGCGUAGAAAGCAAAGCCCAGGUUGAUUUUCUCGGGAGACAGCUUUAUAUCUAGGUAGUUCUGGACUGUCUCUAGGCAGCCCUUGACGCUGGUAUGGUGGGCUGUCACAUUGUCACGGCGAUUGAUGAGGUCGUAAGUCAUAAUCUUGAACAAAACGGUGAGCAUUCUCUCAAACGAAGUAAGGGUAGAUGGCUUAUUAGAAAAUAGUACAUUGACAAAAUCUACGCUCUCCCAGAUUGCCGGCCCGUUUUCGGGAGUAUAGGCAAUCAUAUCUGACUUCCUGCCAGGCACCGCAAUGGAGAGUUGUUUCUCCGUGCCAAUAGCGUUUCUUAUUUCCUUGAGGAAAAGUGGGAAAUUGUCAAUUUCGCUCUUUUUUGCUGAGUUCGAAGUCUCUUUGUAGUCUAGGCCAUUACCCCCAGGGUAUUCCCAGUCGAUAUCUAGAAGAAACACACAGUUAGAACCUGAAGGCAAACUGUCAUGUUUAUGCGGCGACUUUCAAAAAGAGAUAUUGAAAUGGGUAAAGAGGAGGAUACCGUACCAACACCAUCGAAACCAUGUUUAUUAACCAUAUCCGCUACGUUUUUCGCAUACUGCUUCCUACCAGCAUCCUCUUUAGAACCUGCAGAAAAUCCCGCCGUAUCGCCCCAGCCUCCGAUUGCAAUAAGCAGUUUAGUGCCAUUUGCAAAGCGGCCUCGAAUUUCACUGAUGGGGGCGAAUGGGGUAUACUCGCCCGGUGGACUCUCGACGAAGAGGCUGCUAUUUGCGAAAGCCAUGAUAGCACAGUCGACGCCGGUGGUUAUUUCUUUACCUGGGAGAAUGGUACUAUGCCAUCUACACAGAUUUUGGGGGUCAUCCUGGUUAGCACAUCGUAUACAACAUAUAAACACGUCAAUCAGCAUCUGCAGAGAUGGGGUACUAUUGGGGUGGGUGUUUCGUACUGAUCUAAAUACACGCAAAAUCUGGCGGCAGCCAGCUGGACACCGAAAAGCCAUAUGGGGACUCUAAACAAACGCAUCUUGACCAGCAAAAUUGGUUAUUAGCAAAGAAUACUGUUUGUGAUUGUUUUCGAAUCAGGAAAGAAGGUUGGUGGUGGGACUUGGAGAUAGAGAGGGAAGAAAUGAGGUCGACAGAUAGACAAGAAGCUGGGUGAAACGGCUUCAUAGAAGAGCAUGACGAUCCUGGGGGAAUACCAUACUUUCCCUUCCCCUUUGGAAGAGAUAUAUGGACUAUGGAAUCUGGUUAUCUUCGCAAGAAACCUUAACACACCUUAUCUUGCUUCUGUGAAUUUGUUCAUUCAAAGGGCUGCUGUUUUGUUGUCAAAACAGCACAUAAUGCCUGUGUCUGAAGUGUAUACAAUCCUAGAUGUGAAUACA
rnacentral:sRNA from 1 species